CUUGACUCUAGUCUGGCACUGUAAGGAGACAUGAGAGGUGUAGCAUAAGUGGGAGACCCCCCCCUCGCGGGGGUCGGUCGCCGUUGAAAUACCACUACUUUCAUCGUUUCUUUACUUACUUGGUGAGGCGGAGGGCGCGCGUCGUUCCCCGUGUUCGGCGCGCGGUCUUCUGGAACCAAGGGCGGCGAGUGCAAGAUCCUUGCCGAUCGAUCCGAUCCAAGGACACUGCCAGGCGGGGAGUUUGACUGGGGCGGUACAUCUGUCAAAGAAUAACGCAGGUGUCCUAAGGCCAGCUCAGCGAGGACAGAAACCUCGCGUGGAGCAAAAGGGCAAAAGCUGGCUUGAUCCCGAUGUCCAGUAAGCAUAGGGACUGCGAAAGCACGGCCCAUCGAUCCUUUUGGCUUGGAGAGUUUCCAGCAAGAGGUGUCAGAAAAGUUACCACAGGGA
rnacentral:rRNA from 1 species